rnacentral:rRNA from 1 species
UACGGGGGGGGCAAGCGUUGUUCGGAAUUACUGGGCGUAAAGGGCUGGUAGGCGGCCAACUAAGUCGGAUGUGAAAUCCCCAGGCUUAACCUGGGAACUGCAUCCGAUACUGGUCGGCUUGAAUCCGGGAGAGGGAUGCAGAAUUCCAGGUGUAGCGGUGAAAUGCGUAGAUAUCUGGAAGAACACCAAAGGCGAAGGCAGCGUCCUGGGAAGCAUCUGACGCUCAGGUGCGAAAGCUAGGGGAGCGAACGGG